AGAGACGUAUCAAGGCCGGACAAGAUGGUUCCCGAUCGUCAGAAUUCCUGUCCGCGCCUUGCGUCAGCCCCGCCGAAAGGAUCGCCCCCCCUAGUCAAACCGCUCGCGCCCCAGAGGCCUCAUGGAGUCCCGCCUCAGGCUCGGGCCUUGGCCCCCAAAGAAAGCCACUCCGACGUGUUUGAGAUGGGCUUAGUUCCCGGACCCGUCCUACUGCCCCCAGGCGCUGGACAGCCUCAGAAAGAGGACAAGUCUGCAUGGAAAGAUAAUCGCACAACUGAGCCUUCUGGGAGAUGUAGUUCGGAGCUGGGAAGGCGGUUGGACCCUCCGAAAGUCAUCUUAAUUGCUCUCACAGAUAAGCCGGUGCUGGGCUGCCGGCCUGAGUACUGUGCGCCCAGAGUGCGCAGGCGCAAACAUCCUGGGUUGCUGUUUUGGCCUCUUUGUUCGGGCGUGAAUUUUGUUUAUUGCUCCUUAGUGCAGAGGGGUUAUGGGACCAGAGGUUGUGAGACUCAGAAGUGGUUGGGGACGCAGAAGGGGUGUAGACCAGGAACCUGCGACCUGAUGGGGGGAGGUCGAAGGGAAAGGAAUCGCCAAACGUGGGACAGGUUUGGAGAGGCAGAAAGAGAGGAGUCUGAAAUUGCAAAGGGCAGGUGUUAUUCUGACUUCUGUGUGCUUUGUGAUAAAUGAGUGGGGCAGGAAGUAAGAGGAGUUUCACUUUCUCCUUCUGCAAUUAUUUGUGUACUUGGACUAAGUGUAUCUCAUGGCCAGUAUUUGACUGCUUUUGACCUAUAAAGGUAUUGUAUACACAGUCAUGCAUAGUUUAAUAAUAAGGAUAUAUGCUCUCCCCACGGUCUCCCUCUCCCUCUCUUUCCACGGUCUCCCUCUGAUGCCGAGCCAAAGCUGGACUGUACUGCUGCCCUCUCGGCUCACUGCAACCUCCCUGCCUGAUUCUCCUGCCUCAGCCUGCCGAGUGCCUGCGAUUGCAGGCGCGCGCCGCCACGCCUGACUGGUUUUCGUAUUUUUUUGGUCUCCACCAAACACAGGGUUUCGCUGUGUUGGCCGGGCUGGUCUCCAGCUCCUAACCGCGAGUGGUCCGCCAGCCUCGGCCUCCCGAGGUGCCGGGAUUGCAGACGGAGUCUUGUUCACUCAGUGCUCAAUGGUGCCCAGGCUGGAGUGCAGUGGCGUGAUCUCGGCUCGCUACAACCUCCUCCCAGCCGCCUGCUUUGGCCCCCCAAAGAGCCGAGAUUGCAGCCUCUGCCCCGCCGCCACCCCAUCUGGGAAGUGAGGAGCUUCUCUGCCUGGCCGCCCAUCGUCUGGGAUGUGAGGAGCCCCUCUGCCUGGCUGCCCAGUCUGGAAAGUGAGGAGCGUCUCUGCCAGGCCGCCCAUCGUCUGGGAUGUGGGGAGCGCCUCUGCCCCG
rnacentral:lncRNA from 1 species